GUCACGGAGGGCGCGCGCGGGUUGGUCCGCGGCCCAGGAAGGGGUGGCCUGAGACGCAACCGCUGUGUCCCCGAGCUCUCUCACAAAGAAAUGCUGCCUCCGCACGGGCGAGAGGUCGCCCGUCCCACAGCGGUUCCUCACCCCUGCUCCGCGCGCCGUCCUCAGCAGGAGCCCCGCUCCCAGGAAAGUCAGCACAGCCCCGCCGUCCGCAGCGUCCUUCAGUAUGGAGAAUGGAUGGAAGAGGGGCCAAAUUGUACGCAAGACCAGGUAAGCUACUGCAGGUAAGCUACUGCAGGGCUACGAGAGAGAUGCUUAAAUUUAUGGGGAAACAAAGCAAAUUCAAGAGAUCUUUAGGGGGUAAAAUAGAAAUUGUUGACAGAUUAAAUGGCAAGGGAGAGGAAGGCAUCAAGAGAAUUACUAAAUUCCAGGCUUGGCCUAUUUGGUACUAUAAAUAAUGGCGUCAUUCACUAUAACGUGGAAUAAGUGAACAGGACUAAUGACUUCCCCUCAAAAGUCUCAAAUGAUUUUGCUUCCCAAAGGGCAAGAUGAGUAAAGAAGGGAUAGGAUGUCUAAACAGAUGGUGACUACACUUAAAGAGGUAAGCACCACACAAUGUAUAGAACUGUCAAGUCACUAUGCUAUAUACCUGGAUGUAUUAGCAUUGUACACCAGCACUACUUCAAUAAUGAAAUGUUAUUGACAAAGAAAAAAAGGAGGGAUUGAAUUUGGAAAAGAGAAAGAUGGUGCAAAAACACAAAGGGGGAAUAAAGCCGUAUAAGAACUGAAAUAAAAACAAGAUUCCAAAACUCACCUUGAUCAAUAACCUUGGGCAUUGCCCACUAUGUGUCCCAGGUCCUUGCACAGAAUGUUUUCACAACACCUAGCAUCUAAUGACCAAUCAGGGGCCAAGAAAAAUUUCAGCAAAAAAUAAAUCCAUUUUGCUUAGUAUCAAAGUUUUAUUAUCUGAAAUAACUUUGAAACUAUGAGGCACUGAGAAAGUGAUUUAUUUCAUCAAAAACACUUCGGGAGAACAAUUCUUUGGUUGAGGUACAUCUAGAAUCAAAGAUUAGUGACCUGGGAAAGGUAUACAUAUAUAAAUUACCUGGAGAGUUCUCUUCUGAAAUAGUUCUUAACCAGUUUUACAGAGGAAGCAACUGAAAACUGAGGUCUUACGAAGUUUGUCUUAAGUCAUGAUAAAAGGUUUUGUUUGGCAUUUUAGAAAUAUCCUGCCUCCCACUCUUUUUACUACAAAUACAUUGCUUUCUCUCAAGUCAUUUCAUGAGUACAUGUACAAUCAAGUGAUAGCAUAUACCCGUAGACUACAGAUCACACUGCCUACUCUAACUAGAGAUUUUUUUUUUUAAGAUACUUUUAAACUAAGUUUUGAAAACUUAAGAGUUUUGUGGAAGUGCCUUAGGAAGGAUGACAAGGGUAGGGUACAGGUUGAACCGUGGGCUUUUGGGCCCCAUCCCUGCUUCAACUAGAAAUAAAUAAAUGGACUGCUCUCAUCUGUUCUAGAUAGUGUAGCAUUACAGUUUUGUGUUAUCCCUUUUGGAAUCUGGUUCUAGCAUUAAUGAUCAAAACUUGAAAACCACUGUACUUAAGGACCCAGGUAUGAAUCUGGUUAACAUCUACACUUGAACCAGGAUCCUUCUUGAUAGGUGAGAAGCAUAUAGACACAGGAUCAGAAUACAUAAGGACCACCAACAUUUCGGAUAUUUAGAGUAUAGAAUGAUCACCAAUUGUUAACAAUGAGAAUGGCUAAGGGGGAGGAUGUGAGCAGACAAGGAGAUAUUCAAGUUACUGUCAACUAAGAUACUUAUAGUUAUGGAAUCUCAACUGCUCUGGAGAAAUCAGGACUAACCUGUGAAAGCUUACAGACCUCCCUUCAGGCACACUGAAGCUAGAACUGUGGCCUCCAGAAACAUUUUUAUAUUUAGUGUUUCCACUCUCCUCAGAACCACUUAGCUACAGAAUACUCAGAUGCUGCCCUGCUAUGACUGCUCUCCAAUGGAGUCUGAACUUGGAUGGUAUCCUGCUACUAAAUGUGCAUGAAGGUAUGAAGUUUUACAAGAACAUGGCAUCAGACCAAGGUCUCUCUUUUCUUUCUUUUAAAAAUUCUGUAUGGCCUGUGGAGAAAUGGGAAUGCUCUCAGUUAACUGUAUCUGUUGAAUCUGUUCAGUGACUUAAACUUGGCCUCAAGCAUUGGAUCUUUGUGAGGCCAAAAGAACACUGCUUCUAAGUGCCAGAUAUGUUACUUAUUCACAUAAGCCAGAUAAUCAACUAAGAAUCCCUAGUACAACUGUUUGGUUCAGCUGCAAGCCUGCGGCCCAAAGGUCAUCUAUCUUGAAUUCAGGCAUGGCCAACCAGCGUUCAGUACCUACUCCAAAGUUUUAGAAGUAACCUAAGUCAUGGAAUAAAAAGUUGCUCAUGAGUCUUCUUGACAGUCAUCAGCAAAUUCCAUUAAUUCAUUGACUAUAACAUUUACUUUCAUCAAAUCUAUACUCAGUGAUUUUACAGCAACGAAAAUAUAUAACCAGUGUGGCACACAUGAAAUGAGAUUAAUUCAGUUAACACUGAUAGGCAAGGCACAAAAACAAGUGCUUGACUUAGAAAUUUAACUUUAUUUACAAAUGUUCUAUAAACAAAGAUGCCACUCUAUCCCUUUAAACUAUUAUAACUGAUAAUUUCCAGAAAGCCCAUUUACAUAAUCUUAAUCUUCCUGCAUAAAACUAUAUUAUGGGAUGAGCAAAUAUGGAAUGGUUUAAGAAUAUAAAAACAAAACAAAAAGCUUAUGUAGCAUGACUCUAUUGACAGAAUGAAGAAUUAAAACUUAACACCCCUUAACAUGCUACUCCAAAAAAUGGAAACGUGAUAAUUUGGGGGAGAGGUAAACGCUUCACAAUAGUUUUCUUAAAUAAUAUAGUUUGUGAUUGUGAUUAACAGGAUUGCUUUGCAGGCUUAUAUUUAGGCUGAUUUUGAAAAAGACGUCAUUAUUGUAAAAAGGGCAUAAACUUUCUACUUAGAUUUUUCUACCAAUGGAAAUAUGUAGAUAGUGGUCUGGUCUUAUUCAGGCCAAUUAAUAAAAUAAUAAAUGCAUGAAAAAGAACUUAAAAACAUAAUCAUUGUAUGACUAACUUAUAAAAUUAGAAUUCUCCCUGAAGUCAGAGAGUACUGCUCAAUAGUUGCUAUAAAUUUGAAUUUGUCAUAGCCGAAAUGAUAUAUAGACAGAGUUGAAAGUUAAAUUAUUCAAAUUAUCAUUUUAUAUGUAAUUACUUUUAAAAAAUCCUUUACAUUUUAUCUAGGAAGAUAAUCAUUCUCACAUCAUAGUUAAGUCACAAGGAACUUCAAAACUUUGAGAAAAAAAAUUAUCCCUGAGAAGUGAGAGAGAAAAAUCUCUAUAAACAAGUGACAGUCCUGUACCCUUCUAACAAUCUUUACGACAGCAUGACCUUUUAUUAACAACUGUCAAAUGUAUUCCAAUCCUGGAUAGUUACUGCCUCUGAUGAUCUCAUCUUUUUGUAAUGAAACUAUAAGUGCAACAUUUUUUUAAAAAUCAGAUAAAUAGGGACUCUGGUUUUAUUGUCAAGUUUACAUUUUUGUCAAGUGCGAGGACGACCAGCUAAAACAUGUAUAUUCCAAUAAUGACUGACAUAAUAACUUCUGCUGGCAUCUCUUCUUCUGAGUCUUCAUUUCACUCACUAUUCUUCACCCAAAUAAUAAAAGUAAUACAAUGGCAAUUGAGUUUAUUAUUAUCAAGGGCACUGCAAAGAAAAAAGAAAGUUUGUUACUGUGAAGAAAAUAGCAGAAAAAACCCUAAGUAAUAGUUACUAGCAUCCAGGAAGGAUGAAAAUAUCGAACAAUAUGUCAUUCAUAAUCAUGUUGCAAAUAGUUCUAACAAGAGAACAUGCAAUGGAUCAUAAAACCCAAAACUUAUUUUAAAGAAGGCUUGUGUGAUUGCGGUAAGGGUCACACUGGUACAAGUAGCUCAAUAUGAAAUAUCUGUGAAUGGUGCUGGUGCAGGGCUGGAACACAGAAACACACCAGGCCCAGGCAGAAGUAGAUCCACAUGGCUGUGACUUUUGACAUUACAAAUAAAGAGUAAAGAUUCCACAGGGAUCCCUAGGUGGCUUAGUGGUUUAGUGCCUGCCUUUGGCCCGGGGCAUGAUCCUGGAGUCCCAGGAUCGAGUCCCACAUCGGGCUCCCUGCAUAGAGCCUGCUUCUCUUUCUGUCUGUGUCUCUGCCUCUCUCUCUCUUUCUUGCUCUCUGUGUGUCUCUCAUGAAUAAAUAAAAUCUUAAAAAAAAAAAAAAAAGAUUCCACAGUUUCACCACUAAAUUAAGAAUGAACUUAUUUAUCAUUCUACCCAAAGUUGUGAUCAAAACAGCUAACAAAGAAAGAGGGAGACAGAGACCCUAAUUUUAAUGAUUUUAAAUAAAAACUUCUGAAUCCUUUUGCCAGUUUCUCUAAAAUAAUUUCCAAUAGACUGGCAGAUAUGGGAUCUUUAUUUUUCUCUUAAAGCCUUCUAGGACUCUAGAUGACUUUACUACUUGAAGCAACAGAAUUUCCAAAAGGUGAGAACACUGCUUUCAGGUCUGAGAGGUAACACAGGAACAGAUUAUACCAUUGAGCAUUCCAUUUUCAUCAAGUGGUUUAGACAGAAGUAAGAGGUAAACUAAGAAACUAGUAACUACUAAACAGUAAAGCCAGGAUAAAGAGAAAAAAAAACUUCACUGCAAAAACGGUGUGUGAUAGUAUUUACUCUCAGAAGCUUUGCUACUUAAAUCAAAACCACAAAAUUAAAACUUAAAAAGCGUUUUACUAGUUUUUCUUCUUACCUCUCAUCACAGUUCUUACAGAUCGAAUAAGGUUCAUUAGCUGAGAUUUAAUUCCUGGCUCCUCUCCGAAUCCACCAAUUCCCUGGUCUGCUCCCCAGCCAACUGCAUAAUAUAAAAAAAUGAUUAGCUGUGUUAAAAUUUAUUAUGCACUUGCCUUGCUCCCUCAUUAGUCAUCGUUGAAUCAAGAUUAGCUUGAGUCUUUGUUAAAAACAUAAAAUAUAAAGUUAGCUGACUUAAAAGUUACAAUACUGAUUAAAUAUUGUAGAGUAUAUUUUUUACUUUUGAUAGCACCAACAAUCUUACUUCAUUUUCACGUUGAUUUUAUAAAAUAGAUUACAGUCUAAAUUAUUCCAUGGCAUUUAAUUCAGUGAAGAUGACUGCUGUGACAUCCUGACUUUUUUUCCUCUUUUUUUCAAACAAAACAUUUUUCAGGUUGGAACUGGAAACCAAAGUAUACUGUCAAACUCAAUAAUUGAUUAACUCAAUUCACAAUUUAUAAAAUCCAACACAAUUAUCACUAUAAAAAUGUUGAGAUGCACUAUCUACAUUACUUGGGGAAAUUUUAAUGUAAACAUGGCCACGGCUUGCUUAGGCUUUCAGAGUAUGCUCUAUCCUGCUGGCAGGGGGACAUCUUUUCCCCCCUUCAUCACUCUCUUCAUUUCUCAAUUCUAGCUGUGGAAUUUAGCCCACUACUCCACUUAUUCUCCAUAAAAUAGUCUUUUAUCUUCUUCUGUAUCACUUUCCUGAUAUUAUAAAUCAUUAUUUCUUUCCCUCUAUCUGCUAGUUCUUUCUUUACUGCCAUAUAUUCUUCUUAAGACCUAUACAAGUCCUUAUUUCUGCAACUUAUCUUUCUCAUGUCUGCAUUUCAGGGCCAUUUUUUCAUACCUUACAUUACAUUACUUUGUAUCUCCUAUGACUAUAGGGCUUAGUUCCUGACAUGCUGGCCCUUAAACUUGAAGAUGGUCUUUAUUUUAUACAUGGAAGAAUCAAGUCUCAGGAAACAAGACUGCACUUCAUUUAAUCAACUUUUAUUUUGUUGACAUAAAAAAUGGUUGCUUGCUUUUUUGGUCCCAUCAACCCUGAGAUAUAUUGUGGGAUAAAACUAAUUUAAAGUUCAAGUCAUAAGAGAGCUGAUGGGUUUUGACUCACACUCUCCCUUCAAGGCCUAGCUCGAGUUGUGCUGACAACUGACCCGGUCCACAGGGGUGUCGCUGUUUUGCGUUUGUACACUACAGCCACCAUUACAGUGGCUACAAUUAGCCUCUAUGAUCUCUUGCCGGACUCUUUUCAACAGAUGCCUCUGUAAUCCAGCUGUCUCAACACCUUGAGUUUCCUCCCUUACAGGGUCUGGUCUUCCCACCUCGCAAUCACAUGAUGAUUCCCACUGCCUACCAAAUAUAGUUCGAACUCCUGAAACUGACCUGGCCCUAUACCCCACUACUACACCUUCCAAGUAUUCCUAUUCACAAUCGAUGCCCACUAUCUGCCGGACAUGUGAAAGGCAGCUUCUGAAUCUCGGUCAGACUUCUGUGUCAGGGCCUUUCCUCGUUCCUUCUCAUGUCAUAAUAAACCUUCCUUCUCUCUGCUCCCCAAACAGCCUCCUGACUGUGGUGAUUUUGUUCUCUUUCUUGGUUAGCUCUUUCCAAGUGUCUCUCAUUAGACUAUAAAAUCCUGAGAGAUAGGGACUAAAUUGAGUCUUUCUUCACCUUCCCCCUUUCCCGCACCCCUACCCCCAGCAAGUACUUAGUAUAUGUUUAUGGAAUUGAAGUGAAUGAUAAAAGCCCGAGUUAAUCUGGAUAAGGUGAAAUAAGGUAUAUUCUAGGAUCACAGUUCCAAAGAACUCUUAUUUCUUAAUUUUUAUGACACAGGAAGUUAUAACAUGAAACCGUAGACCAUUCCACUGUAGCUUUAGGAAAAAGGGGAAAGAGAUCCUCCAAUAUUAAAUGUACACAUCUAUUCAAGCUAAAAGUAAUUUUAGAAAAUAUACCUGCCUGGGCAUCACCCUCCUACUCAGGAUCUACUCUCUCCAGCAAGCAAAUAUACUUAUUCCACUUCAACAUUUGCUUUUACUCUAUUAUUAGCUUUACCAUGAUGUCCUUCCUCCAAGUAACUGUCUCAGUGUUCAAGUAGCUCCAUCAGUAUUGUCCACUAAAUGGCAGUCCUCUUUUUGUAAUCUAAGUUCAAUUGUAGCACCAGCCUUCACCCACUUACAGCACAGUAAAAAAACUAUUUCAUAUCCAUCUCUAGACAUAAAGGACACAUAAAAUGACCACCUACCAUCAGCUGUGUCAGUUUCCAACCUUCCAGCCUGCAUAACUGCUACAGGAAGAUUUCUAUGGAGAAGCAAUAUGGCUGGGAUAACCUGCAGAAACCUCUUUAACAGCUCUGUACAAUAAAAGAGCAGUAUGGCUCUGAUUCAACAUGAUGGGGUUGGAGAGGAAAGUUAACCCUGACCCUCCUAAGGUCCCUGACUAGGCCUAAAAAUGACAAUGAUAAGGGGCACCUGGGUGGCUCAAUUGGUGACUCUUGGUUUCAGCUCAGGUCAUGAUCUCAGGGUCGUGGGCCUGAGCUCUGUGUCUCUCUCCUUCUGCCUUUCUCUCCCAAAUAAAAUCUUAAAGUAGAUAAAGAAGAAAAGCAUACAAAUUCUACUAACUUUUUACAUGUACAUGGGAACCUUCAGAAGAGAAUGAAGACCCAAAGAAGUGACUAGAGCAGAAAGCUUUUGAGACAUUUGUGAGGAACUGAUAAGAUAAAGAAGUUUGAACUGGGAGUGGUGGUAAUAAAUGAUGGAAAAGUAACAAUGUUUGUUUCUACAGCCUUCCUCUCUGGUGAUACGGAUGUCUCCCUUCCUCCAGGCACAGGUUGGGUAUCCUUCACAUGGGAGACUAAGUGCUGGCUUUGAGCAAAGAGGGCAAGGGGAAUGGGGAGCAGAUGGUAAGAGUGACUGUCCUGCUUCUGCAAUUUUCUCAAACUCCUUCAGCUGAAGAUACUUAAUAAUGCCAAGGUGUCAUAUUUUGGGGUAGCAUGUCCUGAACUUUGAACCUCACCAAUGGAUACUCAUUUUUAUUUUAGCUUUCUCCUGAAACCCUGCUAAAAAUGACAGUAAAGGAUAUAGGUUAAUAAAAGAGAAGUCUUCAGGCCAGUGAAGUCAAUCAAAAUUUGGACAAUAAAAAAUAAAUGAAGAGUAACUGACUUAGUGGAGAAAGCAGAAACCUAAACUCUGCAGGGAGCACAUAAUAAAACACUCAGGUAACUUGUGCUAAGAAUGAGAACCCUGGGAAGGUGAGAGACCUCAGAGUACCAGUUUGGGCAAUGGGGACAAAAAACAGAAGGACUCACUGACAGUCUACAUUAAGAGCAGUUAGCUCCACCCCUCCACCCUCCAAUCUCCUUCCCUAGACUUGGCUGAUAGAAGAAUGUGCUUCUCACACUCUUGAUGUGAGUGUGAUGACUUUGUUGUCAUCAAAGACAACAGGUUUACUCUCAGCAGAGAAUCACAGAAGCUCUGGGCCUGGGGACAUCAGCUGUGAGUACUGGGAAUGAAGGUCUGCACACCAGUGUCAGACUCUUGCCCAUCUCCUCUGCUCAUCUCUAAAUCUGGUCAUGUACCACAUCCUGCAGGCAGGAAGUCAGAAAAUUACUUGGAAAUUGGCCAGCUGCCCAGAAAGAAAAACUUCAGAUAUUGUCAUGGGUGGUUGGGGGAGUGGGUCUCAACAAGACAACUUCUUCAAGCACCAGUGAGGCCCUCCAGUAAACAAGUCCCAACCACACACACACAGCUUCCAGUGAGCCUCUCUGUGCUCUACACCUAAAAAUGAACUGUCAAGAAGAAACAAUCUGUAACAUGGAAAGACAGAGCAAAAACAGAAAAAGGAGACUUGAGGAAGAGACAGUGCAAAAAGUAGAAGAAAGUAUUUUUACUAUUUUUUUAAGUGAUUGGUUUAUUCUUUAUUUUUUAAAAUAAUCUCUAUGCCAAAAAGGUGCUCAAAUUCAUGACCUCAAGAUCAGGAGUCUCAUGCUCUACUGACUGAGCCAGCCAGGAACCUUGGAAGAAAACAUUUUUAAAAUGAACAUCCACAGAGAGUAAAAGCUACUGUACUUAUGAAACAAGAACAGUAUACCAUAAAAAAGGAACAUUAAGGAAUUAAGACAGAGCUCUUAUUCUUGCUACAUUACCAUAAGAAGUUCAAGAGGUUGACAGAUUAAGUUGAGGAAACCUAUCAGACAAGGCUAAGGGAAAAAGAAAGAAUAUCAAUCUGUCAAAAUAAGUGGAGUUCCAGAGAGAAGAAAAAAUAGGAAGAAAUACCAAAGAAAUAUUAAGAGGUAAUAGUGCAGAACUGAAGGACAUGAGCCGUUAAACAAAAGGAUCCAAUCAGAAAACAAUCCAAUGAAUUAGAAAAAACAAAAACAACAAAAAAAGCCCACAUGUUGCUACAUUUUUAUAAAAUCUCAGCCCUCUGAAGAUAGAACACCCUAAAGGCUUUCAGAGAGACAAGUCAGGUUCUACAAAGUAUCAGGGAACAGAAUGGCAUCAGAGUUCUUUAUGUCAGUACUAGAAAUGAGAAAAUUAGGUGGAACAGUUCUUCAAAACACCGAAAAAUUAGUUCCACUCUAGAAUUCUAUAUCCAAACCACAAAUCAACUAGAAAAAUGACAUCGUUUUUUAUUGUUCAGCAGUGAGCAAUACUCAGUGACAGUAAUAUAAAUAUGGAAUACCAAUAUUACCAACAACUGGUUGGAGAUGGGAGAUGGGGGAGGGGAAAAGUGUGUGUACUUAUGCUCUCAUGAGCACAAAUGUGCUGCUGAUGGUAUAAUGAUACUAAACCCUUCCACAACAGUAUAUCAGUGGCUCAAAACUUGGAAGAGUUGAAAAUAACUGCUUUUGAGAAACAGGGCUCAGGUUGAUGAGAGACAGGGCAGGAGGCUUCUAUCUUCAUAAACACGAGAACUUUUUUACUUUAACAACCAGACACACACAUUUACACUGCUUUGAUAAAAAGAAAUAUGAAAUUUAAAAAGAAACCCUGUAAUGAUACUCACCCACUGGGGAAACCCCUCUGUAAUUAGGCCUUCCUCUCCAGGGCAUGAAUACCCUGAGGGCAGGGACAGGGUCUACAAAUGGAAAGGCUUCACCCAUGAGUCACUCUGGAUAUUAGAAUUAUGUUUUAAAACCAGCUUUAAAUGGUAUUGUUGGUUUUUUUCCUUUAUUUGCUUUUCUUGAAUUUACCAUUGCUAAAAUUAUCAGUCCUCUCCACUCACAGCCACAAUCUUUUAGAUGGUAAAAAGGACUUGUUUUCAGUAUAUUAUGGAUCAUGCACUCAAUUUUUGUUAGAAAGCAUAAUUCCCAACAAUCUUUUUUUUUUAGAUCUGUUUCAAAGAUGUCUGAAUAUAUGUUUUUACACUAUAAGAGGAGAGACUGCCUGAAAAAAAAAAAAAAGUAUUUUCCAACACUGAAUAAACUGUUCAACACAACAGGAUAAAACUCUACAAUAUUGGGAGUGCCACAUUUUAAGCAUCAGCACUGAAGUAAUUUUUAAAAAAUAGUAAGUUAUUAAUUAUUUUUAGCCUAGUCUCUAUUCUCAUGUCAUCAGAAUGAAAAGAAAACUAAAUUUUAGGUGGAGAGAGUAAAUAAUUUGACUAGAUAUUCCAUGGGCAAACAUAAAGGUGACAAGUAAAGGACCAGAUGCCAUGGAUUAUCUUUUACUAUAACAAAUAGUUCUCCCUCCAACUGCUACUUAGGGAGUCUCAGUUGUUUUCCUAAGGAAACUGGCCAAAGCUUUAAAGAGCUUUGCUUUUGUUUUUUUUUUUUAAAGGAAAAAGACUUAAUUCUGUAGCUCUCUUGACACUUCCAUAGCUAGAAGGCCUAGAAAAAAAAAAAAGAUAAGACCAGCCAGAACUGGUUGAUGCCAUAAUUUCAGGAAUCGAGUUAAAUAUAAAAAAAUUACUUAUUGCAAACACCAAAAAUGUUCUUCUGUUGCUCAGACUUCAAAAAGUCGUACACAAAAGGCAAUCCAUCCAGAUUCAGCCAAUAACCCUCAGUCAGAUACAUGCAGAAGGAAAGUAUUAGUGCAGUUAGUAUUAGUAUUAAACAUAUUAAUACAGUUUCGAAGGCUGGCUGACCCUGGGCAAAUCUCAGUCUAAGAUUAGCUUCCAUGCGUGCAAAAGAGAUGAGCGUGCUUCAUUCUGUCAGUGUCACCAAGUUCACAUGUGAAUCAAAUGCUACCACAGGUGCAAAAGUGCCCCAAAACUCCAGAAUAAAAAACUCUGCUAAUCUAAGGUUUAAAAAAAUUACCUUGAUCAAAAAGAUCAAUAUUGAAGUAAAUGAUCUGUUAUACUUGGACUAAUCUCUCUUGGAUCAAUGUAAUUAAUUCCCAGUUCAACAUAGUAAUUUCUACUUAAUCUGGGACGAAAUGCAAUAAAUGCUUUUUAGGAGUAUGUAUUUACAGAGAAACCUACAUGUCUGCAUGGUUUUCUCAAUGUUUUAUAAACUGCCAUGCUCAUACCAUGACUAUCACACAAGGCUUGUAGGAUGCCUUGCUCAUUUCUCUGUAUUUGUGCACACCUGGUUAACUGCUUAACAUCUACUUCCUUUAGGAAUUCUCCCUCCAUUACUUCAGCUCAUACAGCCCUCACUACUCUAAACUCUAUUGUUGACUGGCUCUGGAGCAGUUUUUUAACCCUGAAUCAGUAAUACCUUGUAAUAAUUUCACUAUUGGCUAUGGAUUGAAUUGUGUUCCCCCUAAAUUCCUAUGUUGAAGCCCAUGUGGAAAUGGGGUCUUAAGGAGGUAAUUACAGUUAAAUGGAUUGUAAGGGUAGUAUCUUAAUCUGAUAGGACUGCAGUCUUACAAAAAAGAGGAAGAGAGAGAUCUUGAUUCCUUCCUGUCUCCCUCACCUAGCCAUAUGGGGACACAGUGAGAAGACGGCCAUCUACAAGCCAGGAAGAUAGCCCUCACCAGAACUCGACCUGGAUCUUAGACUUCCAAUCUCUAUCUAGAACUGUGAGAAAAUCAAUUUCUGUUGUUCAAGCUACCCAGUCUAUGAUACUUUGUCAUCAGUCCACUGGAGAAGACCUGAAAGGAAACUGCAGUGGUGCUACAACCCAUGGAACAGGUCAGUGAUGGUUUCUGGGAGAGGCAAAUGGCGGAUGUAGGCCUUAAAAGAACAGCACGAGGUAAGUCAAUGUUGCCGAAGGCAGACAAUGUAUGUAUGUAUAAAGGCUCAGCAGUGAAGGAGAGCCCCACGGAAAGAAAGGGAAAAAGAAAGGGAAGGACAGAGAAGAAGGGACACAUUAUGGUGAGCUUAUAAGUCACAUAAGGGAGUGUGACUUUUAUAUUGGGAGGCUAUGGGUACUAGAGAAAAGAACUCAAGAACUUCAAACCCUUGAGGAACACGUUCACCUUCCUUGGAAAGUAGAACAGAGAGCAACAAAACUGGAGGGAGGGUGACCAGUGAGACGGUUACUAUAAAAAUCUAGGCAAGAGUUAAGAGCCUACGUGAAUAAUAUUUAACAAGUACUUAAAAUAUUUUAAAAUUCUAUUUAAAAACAUAUUCAGAUAUUUCACUUUUUAGGUAGUAAUUGCUAUACCCAACAUGGGCCUCGAACUCACAACCCCAAGAUCAAGAGUCACAUGGUCCUCUGAGUCAGCCAGCUGCCCUUGAAUAAAGGGAGGUUUUUUUUUUUUUUUUUUUUAAGUCAGCACCACACCCAAUGUGGGACUUGAAUUUAUAAUCCUGAAAUCAAGAGCGGCAAGCUCUACAGACUGAGCCAGCUGGGCACUGUGAGAGAUUUUAAAACAACAGCUUAUCCACUUAGACAAGCCAAUGUGGCAUUUAUGCCUUAGCUCUGAGACCAUAUUCAAAACACAUGUUCAGAGAAAAUAUCUGUGCUACUUCUGCAGAGAAGAGGAAAUGAAGAUAAAGUUCUAGGAGGCGAAGUAUUAACAUUUCUGGGCCAUUUGAACAGUUUGUAGUGGUUAAUUUUAAUUUAGGGGCAGAAAGCUAAGUCACCUGCAGAAAUCUGGAGAAGACACUGCUGAACUUCACUUCUGGAAAACUUAAAUGCAGGUCUGAAGUAAGGUCUGGGCAUUGUAUUCUCUUUCAAGAUCGUUUAGGCAAUUCUGGGUCCAUUUCUUCUAUAAGCAACUUACCAGUUUCUGCAAAAAGUCAACUGGGAUUGUGAUAGACACUGCAUUAAAUCUGUAAAUCAAUAAUAUUAAGUAUUGUCAUCCUAAUGAUCUCAAGUCUUCCGAUCCCUGAACACGGAUGUCUUUAUUUUAAUUAACUUUAAGAAUAUCUUUAUUCUUUAAUUCCAUUCAACAAUGCCCUAUAGUUUUCAUAGUAUGAGACUUGCACUUCAGUUAAAUUUAUCCCUAAGUAUUUUACUAUUUAUAUUGUAAAUGAAAUUGUUUAAUUUCAUCUUAAAUUGUUCAUUGUUUAUGUAUUGAAAAACAACUAAUUUUUGUUCCUGAUCUCAUCAGGAACUGCAAACUUACUGAACUCAUUUAUUUGUUCGAAGUUUUUUAGUAAACCCCCCCCCAUAUAUACACAGGAUUAUAUCAUCUGCAAACAAGAGAUAUUUUUACUUUUUCAA